rnacentral:lncRNA from 1 species
UGGUUGUCGCGCAGUUGUGGAGAGCAAUCGUGUUGGUUCUUCGUAACGGUGAGUGGUUUUCAACUGCUAUGACAUAUUUUUAACAGUCUUAUAACUGAUUUAAUUACUUUAACAUGUGACCUAUAUAUCUAAAUUGGAGAAACGUGUUUUAGUAUGUUUGACUAUCAUUCUUGAACUCUGAAAGCUGAUUUUAUGAAACUGAUUUUGAGCAUGUUUUAUGAAUUGGUAUGAGAAGAGAAUGACAUUGGGUUAAUUUUGAAAUUAUGUGAAAUUGAGAUUGUGAACUUGAAAAGCUUUGAUGAGCAUUGAAAAGUUGAUAUUGAGAAUGUUAUUUUGAAAAGCUUUGAUGAGCAUUUGAAAAUGAUUUUGAGACUGUUGAUGAGACUUGUAUUGGUUUGAGAAAACGGUUUUGGGGAUCCGUGAUAGAACCCCGUAGCCGUUAGCGGAGGUAACGGCCUAGGUGCACCUAGCUAGUUUGAUUCCGGGAGGAGAGGGCUAUCCGUUAGAUGAAGCUGCCAGUGCACAGAAAGGGCUAUCAACGAGAUGAAGCUUCCCCCGAUGAGAUUGAUGAGAUAUGACAUGAUUUCGGGUGGAGAGGGCUAUCCGUUAGAUGGAGCCGCCUCUUGGGUAAGAUAAUCCUUAAGAGGAAAGAGCUAUCAAUGAGAUGUAGCUUCCCUCGAUGACACGAUGUGACUUGAGAAAGGAAAGGGCUAUCCGCUAGAUGGAGCCACCCCUAUCGGAGAGGCCAUAUCUUAGGAGAGAGAGCUAUCAGCGAGAUGGAGCCGCCUCAUUGUUCUACAUGUGUGACCCUAUUAAUUAUAUUUCUGGUUUUAUGUUUUUCAUAUAUGUGCAUGAUUUUAACUGUAUUUAUUUGAAAUGGUUAUUUAUGAACUUUAUGAUUUUUGUCAAGUUCAUAGUUGAAAUGAUUUAAACUGGUAUUAUUGAUGAUAUAAAUUGUUUAUACUGAGCUGAGAGCGAAAAACUCGUGCCUAGUUUGUUUCCCCUUCCUGUUCAUGGUGGUUGUUGACUGCUCACUAAGUCUUUGUGACUUACCCCAUUCAUUAUUUCCCUUCACAGAUUUUCAGGCAGCUUAGUAGCAGACUGUUGUCAGAUUCAGAUCAUUCGACUUAUUUCCUUUAGCAGGUUGUCAUAGUGGUGUCUUUUAUUUAAUCCUGGUUAUCUGCAGCUAUAGGGAGUCCUAGGUGGAUUUAGAUUUGGGAUUGUGAUUUAUUGUUAUAUUUUAAGAGUUGGCACUUGAGUGCUCGAGUUGGUUUUAUAUUUCACUUAAAAUACUGGUUAUGGUAGAACUCAUUGGCAGAUGUUGUUAAUUUGUAACUAUUGGAAUUACAAAAGAGAUUCUAGUGUUUUUAUAUAUGUGUACAAAGAUAUUUUGAAUAAAUUGUUUGGAAAAUGAUUCUAUGAGGAAGAGGCUUGCCAGGCUAGGGUGGUAGUCUGUGCGCCGGUCACGGCUUAGGAUUUUGGGUCAUGACAAAGUUGGUAUCAGAGCUUUGGCUGUAGGUCCUAAUAGCUGUAGACAUGAGGUAGUGAUAGAAUCUUUCUAGUAAAUUGUGAACCGCGGCACAACUUACUUCAAAGAUGAUAUUAACGCCUCAUGAGAGUCGUAAUGUUGUUUUCAAGUGUGAUUUUAGUUCGUUCCUCAUUCACUGAAUUCCGAGUCAUGUGAUAUGUUUGAUGAAUAUUCUUUGUUCAGUGAGGAUGCCACCUAAAUUAGGAUUUUCGUUAUACAAUGAGUUAUCUUACUAGGAUCAUCUUAAAGGAGGUCGUGGUCGGCGUUGUGGUUUAGGCGAAGGACCAUUGCCUGUAGGCGCUGGUUAAUUGCUGUGUAGCCGAUAUUAACGUGCUUAUCUUGGGGUUAUGAAAUUCAGGGAUGUUAGAGCUUAUAGUUGGUACGAACGUGUUGGAGUGGUUGUUGGACAGCAACAAGGGAACCCACAUAAGAAAAUUUAUGGGAGUCAGUUAGAGGUUAGACUGAGGAAAGUAACAACAAGUAGGUGCCACUAGAUAGAUUGAGGUCACGGUGAUUGGUUUUGGGUAGCUAAUUAAUUCUCCUACUUUACACAUGCGAGUAAGGAUCCACAAACGAAUAUUGGUUCUUUAGAGAGAUUGUGGACAUAACUUUGAUGCGCAUACAUUAAUGCGGUAUAGUUAAUAUAGUUCUAUCUUCUGAUUGUGGUAUAUGAUUAGAUUGAUGGCUUUAUGCGUAUGAGAGCACUGAGAUCACCUCUGAUAGCAUAAGAUGGAUUUUCUUAGAAAUUCAAGAAUCGUUUCGUAAUAGAGAGAGCUAGAGAGCUUAGCAAUUGAUUUGAGAUGCUAGGGCAGGCCGAGGACAGUGACUCUAGAGAGUGGUUCUAGUGGAUACUUGUCAGGAUUUGUUCAAAGUCGUAGAGUAGAUUUUAGGGGUCUUUACAAUCCAUUUUUAUUCCUAGAAGCAUUUUGAGCAAGAUCUACACGUUGUCCUACUUGUGUGAAGUUUCAUCCCGUAGCUUGCUUUGGAGAUGAUUAGGUGUGCUGUUAGUGCGAUUGAACAUGUCAUAUUACGAGGAAUUUCCUUGUGGUUGUGGUGCAACCUUUCUCUAGUAAUGGAUAAGUGUUAUUAGGAGUAGCUUUAGCAUCUUACCUGCUCCUACAACACUUGUUAGACGUGUUAUGAGUUUUUUGGCCGAGGACGUGUAGUACCAAAAAUUAUGGUAAAUUAAAUGGUAGUUGAGGUUGAUGAUAUGUUAGGAGAGUGGAGCUCGAGUCUUUGCUUUGACUCAUCAAGAUGCUUAGGCAACCAAUGUAAUGACAGUAAGUAUACUCUUCAUAUGAUCAUGAGAUGAUUACGUUUGCUUAAUGCUAAAGAUCGAUACUCUUUUUAUCAUUGUAGUCAACUUAGUGAAUUAUCUUCUUUCCUGAAUAAGAUGUUGGACGUUGCUGUACCUCUUUGGGAGCAUUUGGUAGUUGAGUUUGUGCACCAUUCUUUUUAAGGUAUCCAUUGGAGAUCGAUUGAGAGUUGUUGAUAAUCGUUAUAGCUUAAGACAUGAUUGAUUUUAAUGUGAUCUUUGGAUAUAGAUUGGUUAAUCUUUUAGUCAACGAUACUUUGGACUGUCAUAAAUAGGGUAGUGAGAUUUAAAGUACAUGGAGAAUCUUUUUUCCCAUUUCCGGAGAGCGAAGUGGACACCUCAUAAUCCAAUUUCAGCAUUGAAAGGUUACUACGAAAGAGUUGUAGGUGAUAAUUGAUCUUGGUAGAAGAUAUUCAAUUAGAAAAAAUUGAAACAAGAAGAGAUUUUUGUGGUGGGUGUUUUGCAGAAUGUAUUCCCUAGAAAAUUUCUUGGUGUACCUUCCAAUAAGGGGAUAGAGUUUUCCAUAUACUUAGUUUCUGAACCAGAUUUAUUGUGAAGAAUAGAGUCAAGACCAUAGUUAUGUGUUGACUACAGGCAGUUGGAGAAUAUGAUGGUAUUAAAAAAAAAGGGAGACUUAGUGAUCUAGGUACCAUAAAUGGAAAAUUAAGAAAGAAACAAUUUUGAAGACCACUUACAACACAUGUUGUGACUGUAAUGGGUUGUUGGUCAUGCCUUUGGACUUAGUGACACCACUGCUGAUUUAAGAAUUCAGUGAACCAUAUCUUUGAAUCCUUCUUUGAGCAUUUUAUGAUUGUGUUUAUUAAUGAUAUUCUUAGUUAUACUGAGGAUAAAGAAGAGCUCUAGAAGCUUGUUGAUAGUGGAGUUCCAUUUGGGGCUUGCCCAUUUCAACUUAAUGUUGAGUGUUGACUUACAUGCAAAUUCUUUUUACUCUGGUAGAUGUUAGAAAAAACUCAAGGUUAAGAAUUGAAGAGGAUUUUGAUGGAGAUGAUGUUAGUGGUCCACCCAGAAAACAAUUUUAACACUUAUAGCUUUGGUGGAAAGAAGAAGCUUUUGCUGUAAAAAAAAAAAAAAAACACCCUGGUUGGAAAAAAAAGAGAGAGAGACUUCUGAGUUUGCUAAUUUACUGGUUAGAAGCUUUGGCAAAUUGAUCACAGUCAUCUUCCUAUUGCUUCAUGUGAUAAUCCUAGGCAAUCAUGUAGUCCAUAAUUUCCUAAUUAUUGUAUGGUUACUUGGUGCAACUGUGGCCAUUACAUCAGGUAGUUGCCUGAAGGAUUCUAAGCCCUUUUAUUCAUUAGUUCCAGUAACACUUAAAUAUACUGUAUGAUAGCCUUUCAGUUAAAAAAAAAAAUUGCAAAGGGUGAAGAUGGAAGAGGAUGUUUAAAGUGAAAAGAUUUUAUAGUUUUCAUUAGACUUUGUUGACAUUUAGUAAUUUGAAUGAUAAAUAGGUGUGCCUAAUGUAGAUUGUUUGAGGAAGAAAUAUUAGAGGAGACUCAUCGUUCUUCAUACACCAUACACAUGAAUUCCAUAAAUGAUUCAAUACUUGAAAGCACAUUUAUUGGUGGGAAGGAAUAAAAUAAAAUAAAAACGUAGUGGAAUUUGUUUCUAAAUGGUAUGUCAAGGAGGUAAGGAUAAGCACUAAAACCCAGUAGAGGUGCUUCAAUCUAUUGAGAUAAGUGAAAGUGGAUAGGUAUUGCUAUGAAUUUCAUGAUAGAUUUUCCUAGGACAUCAAGGGGUUAUGGUUCCUUAGGUGUGAUUAUAGAUUGAUUGUCAAAGUUGGCACACUUCUUGCCUGUGAGAGUACCUACACUGGAGCUGCGUAUACUAAGCUAUACUUGGAUAAGUGUGAUUAUUUACUUGCUGUACAUGUGUCUACAAUUAUUGGAAAGCUCAAUUCAUUUCACAAUUUUGGAAGUCUUCCUUGAAUUGCUUUGAUGACUCGCUUGAAUUUAAAUAUUGUUUAUAUCUUGAGCUAAUGCUCAUACAAGCAUGAGAGAGACUAUUAAGAUCUUAGAGGAUAUGCUUUGGGUCUGUGUUCUACAACAAAGAGGGAGUUCAAAGCAGUAGUUGUCUUUGUUUGAAUUUGCUUAUAAUAACAAUUGUCAAUCUAGCAUUUGGAUGACACUAUUUGAGGUUUGGUAUGGUAAGUGAUGCAGGUUACCAAAUAGGUUGGUUUGAAAUUGAAUAAGCUAAACUUUUAGGCACAGAACUUUUCCAUGAUGUAUAAUUAGAUGAGCAUUUACCUUAUGGAACAUCCAGUAGCCAUGGUUGAUAUGAGGGUGAAGUGUAUGCAUUCUAAGAGAAUUGAUUCAGUGAAAGUUCUUUGGUUAGGACCACCUGGUGAGGUGAAGAGAAAUCUUAGGAACGUUGAGUAACCAGUAUCUCUCGCUAUUGGAAACUUAAAAGUUAGCUAAAACUAUAAAAUUCGAGGACGAAUUUUUCUAAGGGGGAAGAUUGAAACAUCUUGUUAAAAAAAAAGGUACAGGAAAUAGAAAAAAAAAAUAUAUACAUAUAUAUUUAAUAAAGCAAAAACUUAUAAUAAUAAUAGUUAAAAAAAAAAAAACAAUCUAACCUAACCCCAUAACCCACGCAGCCCCACACCCACAAUUGCUGAAACCGUAAAAAAAAAACAAUUCUUUUCUCUCUCUGUGCUCGUUGCUUUCUUUCUUCUCCUGUGCGCAGCUUUGGUUCUUUUCUCUUCUCUUCAAUUUUCUUUCUUCUUCAAAGGAAACAAAAUACUACACAAUACCCCCACCAUCAAAUAGACGUUGGUGAAGAGAAAUUAUCUUGCAAGUGGAAAAGAUGUUGGGCAUGGUUUUGGGAGAUAGGGUUUGUGCUAAAGAAUGAGAAGAGUACCCACCGCUUCACGAUUACUCAGUCGGGUUAUUGAGGUAUAUCUAUCACUUAUAGAUUUAAAGAAUGAUAUUAUAGUAUAUGUUAGACUUGAGUAGGAUUAUUUUAGGGGUUUGGGUACAUAAUUGGGGAUUUCAUAGUUGCUCACGGGUAGUACGACAUAAGAUAAUUGUUGCUGAAGGUUUGAAGUUGAUUUUUGGUGUUCAGAUCUGCCGGUUAGUGGUUCGUUUGGUUGUCGCGCAGUUGUGGAGAGCAAUCAUGUUGGUUCUUCGUAACGGUGAGUGGUUUUCAAAUGCUAUGACAUAUUUUUAACAGUCUUAUAACUGAUUUAAUUACUUUAACAUGUGACCUAUUUAUCUAAAUUGGGGAAACGUGUUUUAGUAUGUUUGACUAUCAUUCUUGAACUCUGAAAGCUGAUUUUAUGAAACUGAUUUUGAGCAUGUUUUAUGAAUUGGUAUGAGAAGAGAAUGACAUUGGGUUAAUUUGGAAAUUAUGUGAAAUUGAGAUUGUGAACUUGAAAAGCUUUGAUGAGCAUUGAAAAGUUGAUAUUGAGAAUGUUAUUUUGAAAAGCUUUGAUGAGCAUUUGAAAAUGAUUUUGAGACUGUUGAUGAGACUUGUAUUGGUUUGAGAAAACGGUUUUGGGGAUCCUUGAUAGAACCCCGUAGCCGUUAGCGGAGGUAACGGCCUAGGUGCACCUAGCUAGUUUGAUUCCGGGAGGAGAAGGCUAUCCGUUAGAUGAAGCCGCCAGUGCACGGAAAGGGCUAUCAACGAGAUGAAGCUUCCCCCGAUGAGAUUGAUGAGAUAUGACAUGAUUUCGGGUGGAGAGGGCUAUCCGUUAGAUGGAGCCGCCUCUUGGGUAAGAUAAUCCUUAAGAGGAAAGGGCUAUCAAUGAGAUGUAGCUUCCCCCGAUGACACGAUGUGACUUGAGAAAGGAAAGGGCUAUCCGCUAGAUGGAGCCACCCCUAUCGGAGAGGCCAUCCCUUAGGAGGAGAGGGCUAUCAGCGAGAUAGAGUCGCCUCAUGGUUCUACAUGUGUGACCCUAUUAAUUAUAUUUCUGAUUUUAUGUUUUUCAUAUCUGUGCAUGAUUUUAACUGUAUUUAUUUGAAAUGGUUAUUUAUGAACUUUAUGAUUUUUGUCAAGUUCAUAGUUGAAAUGAUUUAAACUGGUAUUAUUGAUGAUAUAAAUUGUUUAUACUGAGCUAAGAGCGAAAAACUCGUGCCUAGUUUGUUUCCCCUUCCUGUUCAUGGUGGUUGUUGACUGCUCACUAAGUCUUUGUGACUUACCCCAUUCAUUAUUUCCCUUCACAGAUUUUCAGGCAGCUUAGUAGCAGACUGUUGUCAGAUUCAGAUCAUUCGACUUAUUUCCUUUAGCAGGUUGUCAUAGUGGUGUCUUUUAUUUAAUCCUGGUUAUCUGCAGCUAUAGGGAGUCCUAGGUGGAUUUAGAUUUGGGAUUGUGAUUUAUUGUUAUAUUUUAAGAGUUGGCACUUGAGUGCUCGAGUUGGUUUUAUAUUUCACUUAAAAUACUGGUUAUGGUAGAACUCAUUGGCAGAUGUUGUUAAUUUGUAACUAUUGGAAUUACAAAAGAGAUUCUAGUGUUUUUAUAUAUGUGUACAAAGAUAUUUUGAAUAAAUUGUUUGGAAAAUGAUUCUAUGAGGAAGAGGCUUGCCAGGCUAGGGUGGUAGUCUGUGCGCCGGUCACGGCUUAGGAUUUUGGGUCAUGACAAUAGGGUUACUCUGUCUUGAUUAUUGGAUUUGAAAUUGUUGAUAUAUAUUUGUGCAUAUGCGUUGUUGGAUUGUACUGUGUGGCCUUCGUGGCGUUAUUAAGUGGCGAUCAGGAGGUGUGGUCCUAUGAUUGUCCCGUCUUGUGAGACGUUAUAAGUGGCGAUGAGGAGGUGUGGUCCUAUCAUUGUCCCGUCUUGUGAGACGUUAUAAGUGGCGAUGAGGAGGUGUGGUCCUAUCAUUGUCCCGUCUUGUGAGACGUUAUAAGUGGCGAUGAGGAGGUGUGGUCCUAUCAUUGUCCCGUCUUGUGAGACGCUAAGUGGCGAUCAGGACGUGUGGUCCUAUGAUUGUCCCGUCUUGUGAGACGUUAUAAGUGGCGAUGAGGAGGUGUGGUCCUAUCAUCGUCCCGUCUUUUAAGACGUUAUUGAUUGACUCAUAUUGUUGGUUUUAUUGUCAUCUGAUAUGUUAAGUGGUUGAUAGCUGAGUUAAUCUAUAUUGUUGAGGUUGUUGAUAUCUAGUUUGAUUUAUAUUGUUGAGGAUUAUUGAUAUCUGAUUUGAUGUUAUAUUGUUGAGAAUUAUUGAUAUCUGAUUUGUCGUUAUAUUGUUGAGGAUUAUUGAUAUCUGAUUUGUCGUUAUAUUGUUGAGAAUUAUUGAUAUCUGAUUUGUCGUUACAUUGUUGAGGAUUGUUGAUGCCUGAAUAAAUGUUAUGAUGUUAAGUUGUUGAUAUAUGAGUUGAGUUAUGAUGCUAGUUCAUUUACCAUGCUAGGUCAUUAAAUUUGAAUAGCAUGAUUUUCUCUUUUAUACAUGGUAAUUGCAUGGAGUUAACCCUUUCUAUUUGCUACUUGUUAUUUGGGCGCUUAACGCUAUUAGGCGAUGGAGAUCCUUCCGCCGAGGCUUAGCUGCUCGAGUUGGAGAUCGAGUCGUAAGCGGUGGAGUAGAGGUGUGAGAAGCAGCUUUGCUUCUCUUCUUGUGGAUUAUGUUUGAGUCUCCCUUUCUUUAAGAGAACUCUGUUAUUAAAGCCUUGCUUCCGCCACUGUUAAAGUGCGC